GACAGAGGUGCCAAGCGUUAGGCGGAAUCACUGGGCUUAAAGCGUGUGUAGGCGGAUUGCUAAGUACCUUGUGAAAUCCCACGGCUUAACCGUGGAACUGCUUGGUAUACUGGCUGUCUUGAGCCACUUAGGGGCGACCGGAACAAACGGUGGAGCGGUGAAAUGCGUAGAUAUCGUUUGGAACGCCAAAGGUGAAAACAGGUCGCUGGGAGUGUGCUGACGCUGAGACACGAAAGCCAGGGGAGCAAACGGG
rnacentral:rRNA from 1 species